AUUGAACGCUGGCGGCAGGCCUAACACAUGCAAGUCGAACGAGUGGCGGACGGGUGAGUAAUGUCUGGGAAACUGCCUGAUGGAGGGGGAUAACUACUGGAAACGGUAGCUAAUACCGCAUACCAUCGGAUGUGCCCAGAUGGGAUUAGCUAGUAGGUGGGGUAAAGGCUCACCUAGGCGACGAUCCCUAGCUGGUCUGAGAGGAUGACCAGCCACACUGGAACUGAGAUCAGGGCCAGAAUCCUACGGGAGGGAGGAGUGGGGAAUAUUGCAAAAUGGGGGGAAGCCUGAUGCAGCCAAGCCGGGGGUAUGAAGAAGGCCUUUGGGUUGUAAAGUACUUUCAGCGGGGAGGCGUUACCCGCAGAAGAAGCACCGGCCAACUCCGUGCCAGCAGCCACGGUAAUUC
rnacentral:rRNA from 1 species